ACAAGACCCAUCUGUGAGGAAAGCUUUGAUAGUAUGCAGAGUAAUAGCUGGGAGAGUUCAUAAGCCUUUGGAUAAUAUACAAGAAAUAUCUGGCCAAACAGGGUUUGAUUCAUUAGCAGGAAAAGUUGGUCUCUACUCAAAUAUUGAGGAGCUGUAUCUUCUAAAUCCCAGAGCUCUUCUUCCUUGCUUUGUGGUAAUCUGCAAAACCUGACCAGAAGACAGUAAAAGAAUCACUUACAAUUUGCUAUCAAGUUAUGUGAAUCCCUUUUUUAAUCUUUUGAUGAUAUAAGAUUCUUCUCAAUCUUCUAUUUUGAAGAAAUUUGAUUCUUCCUCUUACAAUCUUUCUGCCCUUUUUUAGUGUAAUUGUUUCUGCCCUUAUUUACAGUUGCAUAAUUUCUUCAUUUUCUUGUCCAUUUUUAAGAUCAAUGAUGCAUAUAUUUCAAAUUAGAUUGCUGUUAUUUGCACAUAUAUAAACAUGGAGACCAUUCUUUUUUCUAAGUUGAAUAUGGUUAUCUGUAUUGGUGAAGAAAUUGAAAGUACAUGGAUUUUGUAGUAUAAUAAUAUGUAUAACUUCUGACAAGCCAGAGCAUCAAGCACAAUGCAGAUGUAGGCAUCUCACUUCAGUUAUGAGCUGGCAAUACAAUUUGAAAAGUAAUUGGAUACAGAGUUUGAUUUGAUUUACAUGCAAAAUAAUAGUUGAAAACUCCAAAGAAACAAAUAAUUAUAUGAAUCAUGCCCAGAAGUCACAUUUGAGAAACAGAGAAAGUUUAUAUACCUACCUUGAUUCUACAUAGUUUUGAAUAUAAAUUCUUCAAUGUAAAUUUGUAUGAUUUGCUUCACAUGCUUGCAAGGCAUUAUUUGAUGUAUGUAAACUGGAAAGUUUGCAUGUGGGCUUUGUUGGAAGGUUAAGGUUGAAACAAAAGGCUAGUCCAAACCAAGAGGACAAUUAUGUGCUCACUAUAUAUGACUUUGAUUUUGUCAGUUCUGUACCCAGUUUCGGUCACUAUUUGAAUUUAUGCUUGAAUAUCCUUGUUCUGUUUUUUGCCUUUUUUUUCUUUUUUGGUUUGGUUUGGUUUGGUUUUUCCAGCUUGACUCAAAAGCUCUGCCACUAGUAAAGAUUUCAUUGUAUGGCUUGUUUCAAUGUCUAGAUAGUUAGGCUUUUUCUGUAAUAAAGAUGGUUAUUUAUUGUGCAAAGAAAAGGGAGCUUGUCAUUCAUAUAGUAGACUAUAUGUCUAUAUCUCAUGCAUUGAAUAUGCGGAUAUUGUUUGAAAUUCAACGAUCUUAUCUUAUUCAUGAGGACAGUGUUUGUUUAGGGAGUGAAACAAAGGAAGAGAAGUGAUGUCAAAUAAAUCCACCGCUUUGGGGAACAGUGAAAUAUCUCUCUGAGAAAAUUCCAAAAGAUACUUCUAGCAAGGUGCAGAUAAAUCGCGAUCUCUAUUCUCAUGAAAAAAUAAUGGAGACAGCACCGACAUUGCCUGAUUUUGCUUUGUCCCUGAAACCCGACGAGUAUCAGCUUCCUUCGGUGGAUUCAUCUUGGAACGAAGAGAAUGUGAAUGGAGGGUAAGCCUAUUCCGACAAAUCAAGAGUGAAGGCUGUUUGUAAUCUUUGCAGAAAGAAGCUAUACUACAAAAGCCAUCUCAAAAACUUGGAGUGGCCAAUUAAACAGGUGUAUCAUUCUUCAACUGUGUACCAAAGGUCUACUUUAGCCCCACAUUUUUUAAGUAAAGUUUUCUUUUUCUUUUCCAAGAUUUCUUUUCCAACCUUAAAGCUUUGUAGCUUACCCUGUAAUAGAGCUUUGUGCAAGUUCCUGUUGUGUGUAAAUUUCUUGCUGCGGAAAAAGAAUUGUUUUCCUUGCUUGUAAAAUUGAUUAUAGCAAUAAACAUGAUUUUCUCUCUC